GUCCACGCCCUAAACGAUGAUGACUAGUUGUUGGAGGAGUUAAAUCCUUUAGUAACGCAGCUAACGCGUGAAGUCAUCCGCCUGGGGAGUACGGUCUCAAGAUUAAAACUCAAAGGAAUUGACGGGGGCCCGCACAAGCGGUGGAUGAUGUGGUUUAAUUCGAUGCAACGCUAAAACCUUACCUACCCUUGACAUGCCAGGAACGCUCCAGAAAUGGGGCGGUGCCCGAAAGGGAACCUGGACACAGGUGCUGCAUGGCUGUCGU
rnacentral:rRNA from 1 species